UGAAGAUAUUAGCAACAAUAUCGUAAAUAUUUGUCAAAAUCGAAUACAUGUACAGAUGCAUCGAGUACUCAGUCUUAAACAAAACAAAUACUAAUGAGAUAAAAUACACUCUCUGCAAAACUGAAACUAAGAACUGGGGACCUACUCUUAAAUAAAGCUACAAGCUCAAUAUCAGCAACACUCUAAGAAGCUACUUGUCUUGGUACAAGUCGGGGCGAAUUCUUCAGACUAAAUUGUCUUCCACGGGGGAAUCUGAUAAGUGAGAUCUCGAGUAAGUGUUUACAUAAUCCAUCCUUUGUUACAAUGGGGUAGUCAUGUUUGAUGAGUCUACCUCGUUUCAGUAACUUGAUUUCCAGAUGAUUGUCAUGGUUUUUUGCAAGUGUUUACCUCCUCUUGUACCGUGACUUGCUCUUGAAUGAGGACUUCUUCUUUCCACCGGCAUGAAGUGGUUUUCUUUGUUUUCUCUCACUUGUAUCAUUUUGAAAAAUAUCCUGCAUUUCUUCUGUCCUUGAUUCAGAUGCUCUGCUUUUCGGUUUUGGUUUAUUUCCGGCCUUCCUAACAAUCUUGCCAGCAUCAACUGCCUUGUUCACAGCCUUGACUGCUUUUGCACGACGAUAAGCAAGAUCAACUAAGGAAAUUCCAGAUUUCUCUUUCUUUGAUUUGUCUUUGCCAUCAUCCAAGUCAUCUUCAUCUUCUAAUUGCUCUCGAGCAGCCUCCAACUUCCUUCUUUUCUUCCUCGGCAGAUUUUUCUCUCGUUCUCGCUUCCUCUUUUCCUUCAUCUUCAGGUCUUCUGCUUGUUCGGCACUCAUUACCUUACUCUGAGAACCAUUUUCUUUGGCUGCUGCAUUCUCCUUUGCUGCCUUUUGGACUAGCUUUUUCUCCUUUUCUGUGACAAACCAUGUCCUUUUAGGACGUGAAUAAAUCUCAUCCCUGUGGGCAAUCAUAUUCUCUGCCUUAUUUGCUUCCAUUUCAGCUUUUCUUAGUGCCAUCUCUUCCCUCUCUUCUUGCAUAACUGCAGACACUUGAUCCUCAAGUUGUUCAAUCACUUGUGCCCACUUAGUUAUAGACUGUUCUGCUACAAUUCGACUCUUUAGCCUUGAACCAGCUCGUUUAACAAUGGCUUUUAGAAGAGACCUAUCAUUAUCUGUGACAAAUGUAACGGCAUAACCUUCUCUACCAGCUCUAGCUGUCCGACCCACUCGAUGAACGUAACUAGUAAGAUCACG
rnacentral:misc_RNA from 1 species